rnacentral:rRNA from 1 species
GAUGAACGCUGGCGGCGUGCCUAAUACAUGCAAGUCGAGCGGUAAGGCUUUCACAGAUUAUUUGAACAGAUAAGUCCACUUUUUGGAUACUGUUUGAAAAUGGUUCUUCAGGCUAGAAGAACUUGUCGAAUAAUGUGUGAAAGUACACGAGCGGCGGACGGCUGAGUAACGCGUAGGAACGUACCCUAAAGUGAGGGAUAAGCACCGGAAACGGUGUCUAAUACCGCAUGUGGUCUAAGGAUCAAAGUCUUCGGACGCUUUGGGAGCGGCCUGCGUAUGAUUAGCUUGUUGGUGAGGUAAUGGCUCACCAAGGCGACGAUCAUUAGCUGGUCUGAGAGGAUGAUCAGCCAGACUGGGACUGAGACACGGCCCAGACUCCUACGGGAGGCAGCAGUAGGGAAUUUUCCACAAUGGACGAAAGUCUGAUGGAGCAACGCCGCGUGCAGG